rnacentral:rRNA from 1 species
AUUGAACGCUGGCGGCAGGCUUAACACAUGCAAGUCGAGCGGAGAUGAGGUGCUUGCACCUUAUCUUAGCGGCGGACGGGUGAGUAAUGCUUAGGAAUCUGCCUAUUAGUGGGGGACAACAUUCCGAAAGGAAUGCUAAUACCGCAUACGCCCUACGGGGGAAAGCAGGGGAUCUUCGGACCUUGCGCUAAUAGAUGAGCCUAGGGCGGAUUAGCUAGUUGGUGGGGUAAAGGCCGACCAAGGCUACGAUCUGUAGCGGGUCUGAGAGGAUGAUCCGCCACACUGGGACUGAGACACGGCCCAGACUCCUACGGGAGGCAGCAGUGGGGAAUAUUGGACAAUGGGCGGAAGCCUGAUCCAGCCAUGCCGCGUGUGUGAAGAAGGCCUUUUGGUUGUAAAGCACUUUAAGCGAGGAGGAGGCUACCUGGAUUAAUACUCUAGGAUAGUGGACGUUACUCGCAGAAUAAGCACCGGCUAACUCUGUGCCAGCCGCCGCGGUAACAC